CUAGCUGGCCGUCUCGCAGGUCCCUCUCACCCCCUGCGCCGCCGUCGCACCGUGCCCUCCCCCAUUGCGGGCUCUGUCAUUCUCAAACCCAGGUCGACCCACUCUUCCCGCCCACUGGCCCGCCGCAGCUCCCUCCAUUGGCUCGCGGCACCUGUCCGUUUCCUGGGAGAGUUCAGCACCUCCCGGCAGGAAGAGGCUCCGGCCUCAUUGGGUGCGUGAGAAGGGAAGGGUGGAUCCUAAAAGGUAAUACUGAGCCUUCAUUCAAACUAAAAGGCUGGAAGGGAGGCAGCUGCCUUUGUUUGCCAUGGAUGGGUAGGGGCUGCACUGAGCAGCACCGGUGUUCUUCAUCCGGCUGCACCCCCAACAGAGCUCUUUCUUCCCCAGAUCCCUUUUACAGUUGGAUUCUCCCUCUUGGAUCUGGCUCUGCCUUAGUCCGACCUAGAGGGAUCAGCUUCGCCCACGCCCACUCUCACCCGGAACCUUUCAUCUCUUAUUGAAGCCUUUUAGGCCCAUUGGGAUGUUCAUUAGAACUCUGAAAACUACAGUUCUCCCCUUUAUGAGGACUGCACCACAGCUCGCCCUCUCCUGGGUUCCGGUAAGAAGAGAUUCCAAUACCACUCUUUUUUCAGAAUUCAGAAAGGCAAGAGACCACCUUACUGAGCUUCAAACUGGGGCUGGGAACGCUGCCAUGAAUUGGGCUUGGUCUGUCUGAAGGGAGCCACCUUUUCGACAAUCCUUAGACUUCUUUUGCCUGUUGGAAUUACACCUUGGAUCGUGGCGAAGUCUAUAGAGGUCAGAUUAAGAAGAACCAAAGCAGAAUAAACGUAGAACCCGAUGCUGAGUUCACGAGUGAGGACGACCUCUUCCUAUAUGCUUUGCUAUACCCUGCGUUUUGAACAUUAAGGACGAGAUAGGAGGCCCAUAAUGUUUCUUCUUGCUUUAAUCCUGUCGUGGCAACGUUGACUUCCAAAACAAGGUCUCACUGUGUCACCCAGGCUGGAGAGCAGUGGCACGAUCAUAGCUCACUGAUCACAUGGCAGCCUCAAACUCCUGGACUCAGUGGGUCCUCCUGCCUCAGCAUCCUGAGUAGCUGGGACUACAGCCUGGUUGCAGAGUGAGCCCAUGGGACAGCCCUCUGAAAUUAUACUGCUUACAACCAUGCUGAGUCUGCAAGGACUUCGUCCAAGCCUUUCCGUCCAGGACCUCAAACAGAUCCAAUCACAAGAAGAGAGAUUUCAGGAAAGAGAAAAUUAUUCCUAUCAUCGGGGUUUUUGAAGAACAUGAAAUGACUGGGAAAAUAAUCAUGUUAAGUGGAAAAAAAAAAGAAAUCUAUCUGUUGUAAUUUUCAAAUAAUUUUUAAAUAAAUUUGAAAAAUUAAGAGAACUAUAUAUAUAAUACAUUCCUAAUCUUGUGAAAAAUAUAUAUGCAUUAAUAUUAUUGAAAGAAAUAUAUCAAAAGGUGAACAGCAAUUAUCACCAAUCUAGAUUAUGAGAUUAGGAGUGAUUUUUUUUCUUUGUCCUAUACUAUUUAAUAUUUUCUACCAUUAAAAUAUUCUGAUUUUCUAAUUAGAAUAGUACGUUAGACAAAGAAGGACAAAUAUCACAUGAACUCUCACUCUCUUAUGGAACAGAUCUUGUGGAAUCUAAAAAAGUUGAACUCAUAGAAAAAGAGGAAAAUGAUGGUUACCAGUUAGAAAAAAGGAAUAAGUUCAAGAGAUCUAUUGUACACCAUGGUCAAUAUAGUUAACAAUAUAUUUUAUACUUUAAAAUUGCUAAGGUAGUAGAUUUUAAGUGUUCUCACCACACAAAAAAAUAAGUAUGUGAAAAGCAUAUGGUAAUUAGCUUGAUUUAACCACGCCACAGUGCAUACAUAUGUCAAAACAUCAUGUUGUAUACUAUAAAUAUAUACACUUUUUGUCAAUUUUAAACAGGUUAUAAAAAAACAUGUUAUUGUUGAUAAUUAUGAAAAAUUUUAAUGAUGUGGAAAUGUGUACAGUAUAAUGAUAAAUGAAAGAGUAGUAAAAAUCCUUAUAAAAUAUAAUUACAAAUGUGUUGGGUGGAUAAUAUAAAAAUCUUAACAGCUAUUUCUGAGCUAAGUGGUGGAGCAUGGGUAAUUUUUAGUGCCUUCUGUGUCAGGCUGUUCUUGCAUUGCUAUGAAGAAAUACCUGGCCAGGCGCGGUGGCUCACGCCUAUAAUCCCGGCACUUUGGGAGGCCAAGGCGGGUGGAUCACCUGAGGUCAGGAGUUCGAGACCAGCCUGGCCAACAUGGUGAAACCCCGUCUCUACUAAAAAUACAAAAAUUAGCCAGGUAAGGUGGUGCGUGCCUGUAGUUCCAGCUGCUGGGGAGGCUGAGGCAGGAGAAUCGUUUGAACCCAGGAGGCGGAGGUUGCAGUGAGCUGAGAUAGCCUGGGUAACAGACCAAGACUCUGUCUCAAAAAAAAUAAAAAUAAAAAUAAAAAAGAAAUACCUGAGAAAAGGUAAUUUAUAAAGGAAAGAGGUUUAAUUGGCUUGCGAUUCUUCAAGUUUUACAUGAAGCAUGGCAGCAUCUGAUUUUAGGGAGGCCUCAGGAAGCUUCCAAUCCUGGCAUAAAGCAACGAGGAGCAGGUACGUCACAUGGCGAAAGCAGUAACAAGAGAGAGAGUAACGGGGGAGGUGCCACACCCUUUUAAACAAUCACAUCUCAUGAGAACUCACUAUCCUGAAGACAGCACCAAGGGGAUAGUGCUAAACCAUGCAUGAAAAAUCCGCCCCCAUGAUCCAAUCGCCUCCCACCAGGCCCCACCUCCCACAUUGGGGAUUACAAUUCAACAAGAGAUUGGGGCG
ensembl:lncRNA MAP3K9-DT MAP3K9 divergent transcript